rnacentral:lncRNA from 1 species
CUGUAACAAAGUUAUUUUGUAUUUCAUGCUUAGACAAAAAUAACACAAAUUAAAGAAAUUGAAAUCUGCUCUAUCCUAAAAAGAUUUUGACAGUGCUGUGUACUACUUAUAGGACAAAUUAUAUCAAAACUAUAGAAAAGUCUCCCACAAUAUAGCAGACAUGAGCCAACAAUACAGGGUCCUCAAUUUGGAAAGGCACCAAACCCUCCCCCUUACCUGAAACAGUGUUGUAACAGUACAACAUAAGAACAUACAAAAGAUAAUAUCAAUUCGAAGGAGAAAACAUGUUACAAAACACAGAACAGACAUGGCAAGGUAUUUCUACAUCCCUCACAACAA